rnacentral:SRP_RNA from 1 species
GCCCCAGGCCCGUGGGGCUGGAGCGCGUGAACCCCGUCAGGACCGUGAAGGUAGCAGCGGUAAGCGUGUGAAGGUCGCCACGGUUCGCCUGGGGUGUG